rnacentral:tRNA from 1 species
CGAUUAAAUGGCUGAAAUUUAGGCAAUAGACUGUAAAUCUAUUUAUGAGAGCUAUUCUCUUUAAUCA